rnacentral:rRNA from 1 species
GAUAAACGCUGGCGGCGUGCCUAAUACAUGCGAGUCGAGCGGCAGCGCGAGUAGUUUACUACUUGGCGGCGAGCGGCGGACGGCUGAGUAACGCGUGGGAACGUGCCCCAAAGUGAGGAAUAACUGCCCGAAAGGGUAGCUAAUGCCGCAUAUGCUCUUCGGAGUAAAGCUUUCGAGCGCUUUGGGAGCGGCCCGCGUCCGAUUAGGUUGUUGGUGAGGUAAUGGCUCACCAAGCCGACGAUCGGUAGCUGGUCUGAGAGGAUGAUCAGCCAGACUGGGACUGAGACACGGCCCAGACUCCUACGGGAGGCAGCAGUAAGGAAUCUUCCACAAUGGGGGCAACCCUGAUGGAGCAACGCCGCGUGCAGGAUGAAGGCUUUCGGGUCGUAAACUGCUUUUAUAAGUGAAGAAUAUGACGGUAACUUAUGAAUAAGGAUCGGCUAACUACGUGCCAGCAGCCGCGGUAA